CAUAAGUGCUGUAUUACUUUUAAUUAUGUUUGUGACUCUCCAGCUUAUUCCUAGGGCAAUCCCGCCACUCUCAUGCUGUCCUUGGAGGUCCAGGAAGCUGCUCUGCACGCGGCACACGCUCAAGUGAAUCUUCGGUCUCUCUCCGCCGCUCGGACCCGGGACUGUGACGCGUGCGACUGCGGGUCCCACGCCCCCGCUCACAAAGCGCCCACUUCGGACGCGCGCGCUCGGACCCGGGCGCCGCGCGAGGCAUCGCGGGAGUCUCGCCGCCUGACGUCACCAGGGGGCGCCUGCGCUCGGUUCCGCUGGGAGCCUCCGGGUUCCGGCCAUCUCCCCGCGGUCUGCUGCUUCCCGGGCGAUCCCGCCUGCCCCCCACUCGCGGGGCCACCGUGGCUGGGCAGCCUCCCCUGCGCCUGCCGUGGAGGUCGGGCGGAGGAAGAGAGUCCCGGGGCUGAGCGGGAGCAGGGCGGGUGCACCGCCGGCCUCUGACCUGGGUGGCGUCGCCCCUGGCCUGGCCCAGAGCCGUGUGGACCCCGUGCUGCCCGGAGCCGAGGCGUGUGGACCCCGUGCUGCCCGGAGCCGAGCCGUGUGGACCCCGUGCUGCUCGGAGCCAGGCGUGUGGACCCCGUGCUGCCCGGAGCCGAGCCGUCCCCGACGACUCCCGCGAGUCAGCUCCUGGGCAGGCUCCUACCCCCGCAGGCAGCGGAAGAAGUUGAUAACAUGAGCUGGAGAAAGGGAGACGGGAUGAAAUUCUUUCUCUUUAUCCGUUAGUCCGUUUUCAGGUAUGACCUAAAUUUUUUUAAAUUAAAUUUUAUGAAGGCAUGCAUACAGCCCUAGAACCUUUUACAGAACAGAGUUUAAAACUUCUAAUAUUUGGUUUUGUAAGUAAAAAGUAACUUAGUAAGAGCCAUAGUAAGUCUAUGAAUCACAAAAUACCACAAAUGUUCCUCCUUGCUCAUGGGGAGAGGAAAGGUUUUGUCACCUACACAUAUCGUUUCUUGUGUUUCCUCCUCUUUUUGACACCAAUGUUUCUCUGAUCAGAGGUAUUGGAGUUCAACAAGUAAAAUCUCCAAUAGUUGUUAUUAUGCUGUUAUCUGCUAGGACUGGUGCUAACACUUUUUGUUGUUUGUGGUGGGUUUUUGGUGUGUUUUUUUGUAUGGUUUUUUUAAAGAAUAAAAUUGAAACACUU